UCAGGAUGAACGCUGGCGGCAGGCUUAAUACAUGCAAGUCGAACGGUAAGGCCGAGCGUAGCAAUACGUGAGGUACACGAGUGGCGCACGGGUGCGUAACGCGUAUGCAACCUGCCCCGCACCGAGACAAAACAGACUGGAAACGGCUGCUAAUAUCCCAUGGCCACCUCGGGGGACAUCCCCUGUGGUGUAAAGAUUUAUCGGUACGGGAUGGGCAUGCGUAUUAUUAGGUAGUUGGCGGGGUAACGGCCCACCAAGCCGACGAUGAUUAGGGGUCCUGAGAGGGUGAUCGGCCACAUUGGGACUGAGACACGGCCCAAACUCCUACGGGAGGCAGCAGUGGGGGAUAUUGCACAAUGGAGGGAACUCUGAUGCAGCCGACGCCGCGUGAGUGAAGAAGUAUUUCGGUAUGUAAAGCUCUAUCAGCAGGGAAGAUAAUGACAGUACCUGACCAAGAAGCCCCGGCUAACUACGUGCCAGCCGCCGC
rnacentral:rRNA from 1 species